UUUCUACUCCCUCCGUCCGAAAAUACUUGUCAUCAAAAUGGAUAAAAAGAGAUGUAUCUAAAACUAAAAUAUGUCUAGAUGCAUUUCCUUUUAUCCAUUUUGAUGACAAGUAUUUCCGGACGGAGGGAGUAUUUG
rfam:Triticum aestivum genome assembly, contig: Triticum_aestivum_CS42_TGACv1_scaffold_097966_2AL